CCGGGUCCUAACUCUAGUUGGCCUAUUGGAUUAAGUGGAUAUGGGCCACAUGGAGCUGGUGCCAAAUUUAAAAAACAUGCUUAUGAUGGGCCAAAAUCUGUUGGGCCAAAUUUGGGAGUGCAAAUGUCUAGAGGAUCACCUAAAUUUGGAUCGGGCCAAAAACAAAUAAAGGGUCGCCCAUGGUGUGAUCACUGUCGGAAACAUGGACAUAAAAAAGACACAUGCUGGGAUUUACACGGAAAACCGUCUGACUGAAAAUCAAGACAGAAUAAUAGAAAUCACGGCUAUCAAGCUACAGUUGACUCCACUGAAAUACAGAAUUCCACUCCGAGUGGUGCUUUUAGUCAAGAGCAACUUGAACAACUCUACAAAAUGUUUUUUAGCUUUCAGUCACCUAGUUCGUCAAGUUCUUUAACCCACAGAGGUAAUUUCCUGAGAGCCCUAAACACCACCACACUUUCAAAGGUACCAUGGAUUAUUGAUUCCGGUGCAUCCGAUCACAUGACGGACUCCUAUCACUUAUUUUCUUCUUAUUCACCAUGUGCGGGCAACCUUAAAGUUAAAAUUGUAGAUGGUUCAUUAUCUCCAGUGGCUGGGAAAGGGAGUAUUCAUAUCUCUAACUCAAUCACUCUCGAGCACGUACUACAUGUCCCAAAUUUAUCAUGCAAUUUAUUAUCAAUUAGCCAAUAAAUAAAAUAUUCAAAUUGUUCAGCUAAUUUCUUUUCUUCCCACUGUGUGUUUCGGGACCUAUCAUCGGGGAAGACGAUUGGCAGUGCUAAAGAUUGUGAGGGACUCUACUACUUUGACGAGGCUAAUGUGAGUGAACAACGUCAAUUUGCUAGUUGUGAUUCUGUUUUUUUUCCCUAAGGAUAGUGAACUUCUUUUAUGGCAUUAUAGAAUGGGACACCCUAGCUUUCAAUAUUUAAGACGUAUUCCAAUCACUUUUUUUGAAUAAAAUAUCUUCUGAUUUUAUUUGUGAAAGUUGUGAACUCGCAAAACAUCAUUGUUCGUCAUUCCCAAAAUCCGUGUAUAAACCAUCUCGACCAUUUAGCAUGAUUCACAGUGAUUUAUGGGGACCCUCACGAAUUCCCAAUUGCACUCACACAAGAUGGUUUGUCACGUUUAUUGACGAUCACACUCGAAUUUGUUGGGUCUAUCUGUUAAAAGAAAAGAUCGAAGUUCGUUCCGUGUUCAUAAAUUUCCAUACAAUGAUUCAAACUCAAUUCCAGACAAAAAUUCAAAUUCUGCGCACAUAUAAUGGCACAGAAUACUUCAAUAAUACCUUAAAAACCUACCUUCAAGAUAAUGGGAUAAUCCAUCAAAGUUCUUGUGUCGAUACUCCACAACAAAAAGGAGUUGCUGAACGUAAAAAUAGACACCUACUUGAGGUAGCUCGAGCACUGAUGUUCACCAUCGGUGUAAACAAUACUUUCUGGGGUGAUGCCAUUCUAACAUCUGCCUACCUCAUUAACAGAUUGCCUAGUCGCACCCUCAAUUUCGAAACUCCUCUCCAAAAAUUCCAAACCUUCUUCCCUAACUCUUCCCUAACUCUCGCCUUAACUCUAACUUACCCCUAAGAGUGUUUGGAUGUACGGUUUUUGUACACAUACACUCUCAUCAUCGAAACAAACUCGAACCCCGUGCAGUUAAGUGUGUAUUUAUUGGGUAUUCACCUACACAAAAGGGGUAUAAAUGCUAUGAUCCUAUCACCAAAAGAUUAUUCGUGAGUCUUGAUGUCACUUUCUUCGAAAAUCAUCCAUACUUCCAAAAAACCUCUCUUCAGGGGAGAACAUUAGUGAAGAUCGAUUCUUGAAAAUUUCCAUUAAUCCCUCCAAAUCCAUCACUAAACAACCAACACCACUCUAUCCCGACGUGCCAUCAAUAGAAGGAAGCUUAAACUCAGGGGGAGAACAGAAAGAACAACAUGGUAAAGAAACAAUAGUUUACUCAAGAAGGCCAAAAUCGAACUAUGACCCCACACUCGAAGCACCCAGAGAGUAAGAACCGGUGAUAGCUUCGGAACUUCAUGAGCCUCCUUCAAAAUCAUCCAACACCGAUCUACCUAUUGCUCUCAGAAAACAAACACGGUUAUGCACCCUCCAUCUAUCUCAAAGUUUAUCUCUUAUAAAGUUUUAUCUCCAGUUUUUCGAUCUUUUGUUGCUAACCUUGACAGUACAGAAAUUUCAAAAAAUGUUCAAGAAGCAUUGGAAAUCCCCAAGUGGAGGGAAGCAGUAAUGGAAGAAAUGAAAGCCUUGAAAAUAAAUGAAACAUCGGAUGUGAUGGAACUUCCGAAAGGAAAGAGACCUGUCGGGUGCAAGUGGGUGUUUAAUGUAAAAUAUAAAGCAGACGGGACAAUAGAAAGAUACAAAGCUCGCCUAGUUGCAAAAGGGUAUACUCAAACUUAUGGAAUAGACUACACGGAAACUUUUGCACCGGUUGCAAAACUGAAUACAGUUCGAGUCCUUCUAUCACUAGCAGUAAACUUGGAUUGGCCACUCCAACAACUUGACAUUAAGAAUGCAUUUUUAAAUGGGCAGUUGGAUGAAGAAGUCUACAUGAUGCUACCACCAAGAUUUUCUAAGAAAGGUGAAGAAAACAAAGUAAUGAAACUGAAAAAAUCUCUGUAUGGUCUUGAACAGUCACCUAGAGCAUGGUUUGAC
rnacentral:lncRNA from 1 species